GACGAACGCUGGCGGCGUGCUUAACACAUGCAAGUCGAACGAUGAAGCUGGAGCUUGCUCCGGUGGAUUAGUGGCGACCGGGUGAGUAACACGUGAGCAAUCUGCCCUUGACUCUGGGAUAACUGCGGGAAACUGUAGCUAAUACCGGAUACAUUCACUGGAAGGCAUCUUCUGGUGAAGAAAGAAUUUCGGUCAAGGAUGAGCUCGCGGCCUAUCAGCUUGUUGGUGAGGUAACGGCUCAGCAAGGCGACGACGGGUAGCCGGCCUGAGAAGGUGACCGGCCACCCUGGGACUGAGACACGGCCCAGACUCCUACGGGAGGCAGCAGUGGGGAAUAUUGCACAAUGGGCGCAAGCCUGAUGCAGCAACGCCGCGUGAGGGAUGAAGGCCGUCGGGUUGUAAACCUCUUUUAGCAGGGAAGAAGCGAAAGUGACGGUACCUGCAGAAAAAGCACCGGCUAACUACGUGCCAGCCGCCGCCGUAA
rnacentral:rRNA from 1 species